rnacentral:rRNA from 1 species
GGUUAAGCGACUAAGCGUACACGGUGGAUGCCCUGGCAGUCAGAGGCGAUGAAGGACGUGCUAAUCUGCGAUAAGCGUCGGUAAGGUGAUAUGAACCGUUAUAACCGGCGAUUUCCGAAUGGGGAAACCCAGUGUGAUUCGUCACACUAUCAUUAACUGAAUCCAUAGGUUAAUGAGGCGAACCGGGGGAACUGAAACAUCUAAGUACCCCGAGGAAAAGAAAUCAACCGAGAUUCCCCCAGUAGCGGCGAGCGAACGGGGAGCAGCCCAGAGCCUGAAUCAGUGUGUGUGUUAGUGGAAGCGUCUGGAAAGGCGCGCGAUACAGGGUGACAGCCCCGUACACAAAAAUGCACAUACUGUGAGCUCGAUGAGUAGGGCGGGACACGUGGUAUCCUGUCUGAAUAUGGGGGGACCAUCCUCCAAGGCUAAAUACUCCUGACUGACCGAUAGUGAACCAGUACCGUGAGGGAAAGGCGAAAAGAACCCCGGCGAGGGGAGUGAAAAGAACCUGAAACCGUGUACGUACAAGCAGUGGGAGCCUCUUUUAUGGGGUGACUGCGUACCUUUUGUAUAAUGGGUCAGCGACUUAUAUUCUGUAGCAAGGUUAACCGAAUAGGGGAGCCGAAGGGAAACCGAGUCUUAACCGGGCGUUAAGUUGCAGGGUAUAGACCCGAAACCCGGUGAUCUAGCCAUGGGCAGGUUGAAGGUUGGGUAACACUAACUGGAGGACCGAACCGACUAAUGUUGAAAAAUUAGCGGAUGACUUGUGGCUGGGGGUGAAAGGCCAAUCAAACCGGGAGAUAGCUGGUUCUCCCCGAAAGCUAUUUAGGUAGCGCCUCGUGAAUUCAUCUCCGGGGGUAGAGCACUGUUUCGGCAAGGGGGUCAUCCCGACUUACCAACCCGAUGCAAACUGCGAAUACCGGAGAAUGUUAUCACGGGAGACACACGGCGGGUGCUAACGUCCGUCGUGAAGAGGGAAACAACCCAGACCGCCAGCUAAGGUCCCAAAGUCAUGGUUAAGUGGGAAACGAUGUGGGAAGGCCCAGACAGCCAGGAUGUUGGCUUAGAAGCAGCCAUCAUUUAAAGAAAGCGUAAUAGCUCACUGGUCGAGUCGGCCUGCGCGGAAGAUGUAACGGGGCUAAACCAUGCACCGAAGCUGCGGCAGCGACACUGUGUGUUGUUGGGUAGGGGAGCGUUCUGUAAGCCUGUGAAGGUGUACUGUGAGGUAUGCUGGAGGUAUCAGAAGUGCGAAUGCUGACAUAAGUAACGAUAAAGCGGGUGAAAAGCCCGCUCGCCGGAAGACCAAGGGUUCCUGUCCAACGUUAAUCGGGGCAGGGUGAGUCGACCCCUAAGGCGAGGCCGAAAGGCGUAGUCGAUGGGAAACAGGUUAAUAUUCCUGUACUUGGUGUUACUGCGAAGGGGGGACGGAGAAGGCUAUGUUGGCCGGGCGACGGUUGUCCCGGUUUAAGCGUGUAGGCUGGUUUUCCGAGGCAAAUCCGGAAAAAUCAAGGCUGAGGCGUGAUGACGAGGCACUACGGUGCUGAAGCAACAAAUGCCCUGCUUCCAGGAAAAGCCUCUAAGCAUCAGGUAACAUCAAAUCGUACCCCAAACCGACACAGGUGGUCAGGUAGAGAAUACCAAGGCGCUUGAGAGAACUCGGGUGAAGGAACUAGGCAAAAUGGUGCCGUAACUUCGGGAGAAGGCACGCUGAUAUGUAGGUGAAGUCCCUCGCGGAUGGAGCUGAAAUCAGUCGAAGAUACCAGCUGGCUGCAACUGUUUAUUAAAAACACAGCACUGUGCAAACACGAAAGUGGACGUAUACGGUGUGACGCCUGCCCGGUGCCGGAAGGUUAAUUGAUGGGGUCAGCGCAAGCGAAGCUCUUGAUCGAAGCCCCGGUAAACGGCGGCCGUAACUAUAACGGUCCUAAGGUAGCGAAAUUCCUUGUCGGGUAAGUUCCGACCUGCACGAAUGGCGUAAUGAUGGCCAGGCUGUCUCCACCCGAGACUCAGUGAAAUUGAACUCGCUGUGAAGAUGCAGUGUACCCGCGGCAAGACGGAAAGACCCCGUGAACCUUUACUAUAGCUUGACACUGAACAUUGAGCCUUGAUGUGUAGGAUAGGUGGGAGGCUUUGAAGUGUGGACGCCAGUCUGCAUGGAGCCGACCUUGAAAUACCACCCUUUAAUGUUUGAUGUUCUAACGUGGACCCGUGAUCCGGGUUGCGGACAGUGUCUGGUGGGUAGUUUGACUGGGGCGGUCUCCUCCUAAAGAGUAACGGAGGAGCACGAAGGUUGGCUAAUCCUGGUCGGACAUCAGGAGGUUAGUGCAAUGGCAUAAGCCAGCUUGACUGCGAGCGUGACGGCGCGAGCAGGUGCGAAAGCAGGUCAUAGUGAUCCGGUGGUUCUGAAUGGAAGGGCCAUCGCUCAACGGAUAAAAGGUACUCCGGGGAUAACAGGCUGAUACCGCCCAAGAGUUCAUAUCGACGGCGGUGUUUGGCACCUCGAUGUCGGCUCAUCACAUCCUGGGGCUGAAGUAGGUCCCAAGGGUAUGGCUGUUCGCCAUUUAAAGUGGUACGCGAGCUGGGUUUAGAACGUCGUGAGACAGUUCGGUCCCUAUCUGCCGUGGGCGCUGGAGAACUGAGGGGGCUGCUCCUAGUACGAGAGGACCGGAGUGGACGCAUCACUGGUGUUCGGGUUGUCAUGCCAAUGGCACUGCCCGGUAGCUAAAUGCGGAAGAGAUAAGUGCUGAAAGCAUCUAAGCACGAAACUUGCCCCGAGAUGAGUUCUCCCUGACCCUUUAAGGGUCCUGAAGGAACGUUGAAGACGACGACGUUGAUAGGCCGGGUGUGUAAGCGCAGCGAUGCGUUGAGCUAACCGGUACUAAUGAACCGUGAGGCUUAACCUU